UUACGACUUCUUUGUUCAUUCUCAGCAGAGACGCCGGAAUUUCCCUCUCAACAGUCUCAGAUUUGAACGUUCACUAUAUUAGACAACAUGCUCAAAUUCAUGGUUUUUCUUCUUGUUAUCGGAGUGGCUGUAGCUGGAGUUAUCUACCAAAAAAAAGAAUACCCAAAAUACGAAUAUGUUCGCCCAGUAAAAAUUGUCACAUACCCUGUGCAAACUAUCAAGGUUGUGAGCGUUCCACAGAAAUAUGUUGUAUCGCAUGACUAUUCAUGUGAUUAUGACUGCUAGCAUUUGGCCUUGUCUGUGUCAAAAACAAAAAGUAUUCGCCUUCAAAGAAAACGCCUUCAAAGAAAUUUACGAAUUUUGUUGUCAGCAGGAAGAAAAAAAUUAUUAGUGGAACUAUUUCUAGAAAAUAAUGAAAUAAAUUUAUUAUUUUCUAAGUGCA